UACGUAGGGACCGAGCGUUGUCCGGAUUCAUUGGGCGUAAAGAGCUCGUAGGCGGCCACUCAAGUCGAAUGUGAAACCUCGAGGCUUAACCUCGAGCCUGCAUUCGAUACUGGGCGGCUAGAGUCUGGUAGGGGGAUCUGGAAUUCCUGGUGUAGCGGUGGAAUGCGCAGAUAUCAGGAGGAACACCGGUGGCGAAGGCGGGCCUCUGGGCCGAUACUGACGCUGAGGAGCGAAAGCGUGGGGAGCGAACAGG
rnacentral:rRNA from 1 species